rnacentral:lncRNA from 1 species
CCAUUCUGCUUCUUUUGGACUUCACUGGGUGUGACUAGAGUAGAAAAAGGACUUGGACACUCAGCAAUUGGAAUUUUGGAAGAUUUCUUAGAAGAAAGAAUCCUUCAUGGGAUUUGAAAGGAGCCAGUCAGGAAUGACAAGUUCCAAAGUUAUUUCUUAAAACCAUAACCUCAAGUUAUGAGCAUUUGGGUCUUAUUUGGUAGGAUGAGGGUGGGAAGAUGCAGCCUAUCUGUAGUUUCAUUCCUGUCACAGGCUUGCAUGUGUGUGUAGCUAUUUCCCCUGCAAAGGAAGCAAAGGAAGCAGGAGCAGUGUCUUGAUACCCUCUGGGACAAGCUCCACCCAUGGACAAACAGCCACAGCAGAGGAGGAAGAACCUAAGGGACUACUACUCACCUGAAAUAAGGGAGUAGGGGGAUUGAACUAAGGAUCUUGUGCUUGCCAGGCAGGUGCAGUGCCACAGAGCUACAUCCCCACCACAAAAUCUGUUUUUGGAGAAUGAGCAGCCUGAGUGUGGAUGGACAUUCUGACAAGCAGCACAAGGAAGAUCAUGACAGAGUUAUUUCUCUCCCUCAUUCUAACAAACAAAAAUGUCCCUAAACAAAUAUUGUGCUUGCUUAUUUCUGUUUUUUAAAAUGUUUUAUGUAUCAAUAACUUUUUAAAAAUAUUCUUUACAUUUCUGAAACUAAAUUUUCUGUUUUUCUAGUUCAGCUGGAAGUCUUAUUUACUAUUCCAGACUAGAAAUGGUCUGUAUUUGGGUACAGAGUGCCGUGUAGUCAUGGCAGUGCCAGAAGUGGCCUUAGUUAAGAUAGAACCUGAUGUAUCAUUAUUUACACAACAAAUGAUGUCUGCCUCCAACAGAGAGUGAGGUGUUUUAUGACCACAGGCUUUAUGAGUUGUAGCUAUAAAAUAAUCAGUCUUUUGAAGCAAACAUACCACAAUGUCUGUAUCUAAAAGGAAACUGUCCUUUAGGGCUGUGACCUUGGGAAACUUUGCACACAUGCUGACCUAUAAAAUAUAUUUAAAUUAUUCACAGGAAACAUCUUGCAGUCGCUCAGCAUUCCCGCUCUGUCCCUCUCCUCUUCUUUCCCCACUUCCUUUCUCUCAGCCUCUCUCCCUUUCCCUUUCUCCUUUCUUCUUUUUUCUUUCACACAAUUUUAUGAUGCACUUCAUUCUCAACUAAAAGUAUUUUCUCUGUCUUGAUAACCAAGACCAUGUUCUAGAUAAUCUGGCUGUGAAUGCCUUUGGCUGUCAGAAAAUUCCAUCCCUGAAAUGACAGUGUGGAGUUGGUACAUGAACAUAACACAUCUGAGUUCCUUUUUUUCAUCCCUUAUCCCUUUCCUCCUUUCCCUGCCUCUGUCUCUUGAUACCCUUCCCCUUCGGAAAAGCUCUCCCUACUUCUAACUUGUUCUUUAUUUUGUCUCUGGGUUUCUCAUGUGAGAGAAACAAUGUGAUAUUUAAUGUUGUGUGUCUGAUUUAUUUUACUUAACAUUAUAGUGUCAAGGUGGAUUCAUUUCUUACUGCAAACAUGUACAAAAGAAAAAAGGAAGAGAAUCAAGAGAUGGGUGGAGGGAGAGGGAAGGAAGGGACAGGGGAUGAAAAAAGGAAUUAAGAUGUGUGAUGUACAUGCACUAACUCCACACAAGGAAUGCAAACAUUAUGUGCUACACACACAAAAUAAAAAGACAAACAAAAAAACAUUGUUACCACUGAAGAAGUUAAAGAAACUAAAGGCCUGCUGACCCUGACCACUGUACUCAAAGAAGAACUGCAAAGAUAGUUGGAAAUUGCCAGCAUCCUUAGAAUAAAUAAUGACCUUCCAGGAUGCUAUUUUUAAGGACACUGAAACAUCUAAUUAUUAAGAUAUUUAUAAAAUGAAAGUUAACCAAAUCUACUUCAUGUCCCAAUUUGUUUCUAACACUGCUCAUGUUACCUACCACUUCAUUUUGAAGUUAUGGUCACUACCUUCUUCUGUUCGUUUUGCUAAACACUGGUCAACCAGUCAAAAGCAGCCACACUCAAAAGUAAGGAUGAUACAUGAUAAAUACUGUGUGGGUGAAAGUAUGCAGAAGCACUCAUUUUUAUGCAAUAUGGAGGCAAUGUAAAUUGGACACUUUAGAGGAUAAGUUGGGAGUAUAAAAAUUGAAACUGCACUUUUCUUUUAUUCUACAAUAUGGUUUGAGUUCUUUUUUUUAUAGACAUGCUUACAAACUUUCAUAAACAUAUAUGCCCAUUUAAUUGCAGCAUUGUGAUAGGAAAAUACUAAAAACAAAGUAAAUGUUCAGCAGGGAAAUAGUUAAAUAAAUUAUGGCUUAUCUGAAAAACUAAAUAUACAACAUUUGAAAUGCAAAAUAGUGUAUAUAUAUACACACACAUCUGCAAAUAUCUGUAAAACUUAUUGUUAAAUUAAAAGUCCAUGUUAAAAAAUAUAUUUCUCUUUUAAAAGCACACACAAAAUUUUUUUUAAAAGGCCAUGUUUCUGUGUGCUCACUUAUACUAAAUAUGUGGAAAGUCACAUAAGAAAAUAUGAUAGUAUUUAUCUUUAGAGAAUGAAGAGAGAUUUAUUAUAAAAUCUUAUUGUAACUCUCUUGUAGGCUUUUAUCAUGUGGAUCUAUUUUUUCAAAAAUAAUAAAAAUUUAAAAAGUAAAAUAUAAAAUGGGCCAAUGUAUUGACUGAAGUAUGUUGGAGACCAAGCUUUGGUCUUCCUUUGUAAGAGGUCAGUGGAGCACUGAAUCUUGCUCUUUGGGUGUGCUUGAAUCAGGACAGUGAGGGAAUGAGUAUGGGGACUGUUGAGAAC